AUGAUGAACUUAGUUGCAACAUAGAGUCAAGCUCUGAGCCAAGUGCGCGGACGAGCCUUGCAUAGUCUAUCUCUGACC